CGUGUCCAAAAACGUCACUUCCGUGUCCUACCAAACCAACGAUAUAAUGGUGCUGUGUUGUGUCCUGUGUUGCAACAAUAGAAAUGAUGUAAAUAAAACGAUAUCUUUCUACCGCUUUCCUCUGGACGAAAAGGAGAAGAGAAGAUGGCUGACAUUGAUAAGUAAUGAAGAACAGAACGUCCUCCGCUGGAAAACAGACCGUCGGCCAUUCUGGCUCCAGUGCCCACCCUGAAAGUCGGCCAUUUUGGGGCCGGCGCGCGCCAGAAAGAGCCCAUUUAGAGCGGGAGGCUUGUCGGGGGUCGUGGCCUUGUUUACACGGGGAGCCGGAGCUGAUGGUUUUAAAACGGCGUCCAGAUGGUGACGGAGGUUUGAUGGCAGCCCAGGGCCUCCGGGGCCCCGCCCACUCCGGCUGUCCGGACACUUCUGCUGCUGAAUCGCUGCUCUUCAUGUUUCCUCUGCUGCUGUUUAACCUCAGAGCUUAAAUUAGAGGAAACGCAUCAAAAAAAAUCCAGGAAUUGUCAGCGAAUCGCCCUGUUAAUAAAGAAUUUUCCAUCCUUGAA